AUUGAACGCCGGCGGCAGGCUUAACACAUGCAAGUCGAGCGGAGAUGAGGUGCUUGCACCUUAUCUUAGCGGCGGACGGGUGAGUAAUGCUUAGGAAUCUGCCUAUUAGUGGGGGACAACAUUCCGAAAGGAAUGCUAAUACCGCAUACGUCCUACGGGAGAAAGCAGGGGAUCUUCGGACCCUGCGCUAAUAGAUGAGCCUAAGUCGGAUUAGCUAGUUGGUGGGGUAAAGGCCUACCAAGGCGACGAUCUGUAGCGGGUCUGAGAGGAUGAUCCGCCACACUGGGACUGAGACACGGCCCAGACUCCUACGGGAGGCAGCAGUGGGGAAUAUUGGACAAUGGGGGGGAACCCUGAUCCAGCCAUGCCGCGUGUGUGAAGAAGGCCUUAUGGUUGUAAAGCACUUUAAGCGAGGAGGAGGCUACUGAGACUAAUACUCUUGGAUAGUGGACGUUACUCGCAGAAUAAGCACCGGCUAACUCUGUGCCAGCAGCCGCCGUAAGAC
rnacentral:rRNA from 1 species